rnacentral:rRNA from 1 species
GUCUUCUAGGAUUAGAAUUAGAAGUCCAACCUGCCCAGUGUGUAAUAAAUGGCCGCGGUAUUUUGACCGUGCGAAGGUAGCAUAAUAAAUAGUCUAUUAAUUGUAGUCUGGUAUGAAAGGUUUGACGUAGGAUAGCUUUCUUAUUUUUAUAGAUGAAUUUAAAUUGUUAGUGAAAAUGCUAACAUAUAUUAGAUGGACGAGAAGACCCUAUAGAGCUUUAUAUUUAUUUUAAUUAUUGUGGUAUUGAAUUGAAUAUAUAUUUUGUUGGGGCGACAUUAAAUAUUAAACAUUUAAUAUAUUAUCUUUUUGUAAGGUUUUAUGAUCCAUUAUUAAUGAUUUAAGACUAAGUUACCUUAGGGAUAACAGCGUAAUUUUACUUUAGAGUUCUUAUCGAUAGUGAAGUUUGCGACCUCGAUGUUGGAUUAAAAUACCUAUAAGGCGCAGGAGUUUUACAAGGUAGUCUGUUCGACUGUUAAAUUUUUACA